rnacentral:lncRNA from 1 species
ACAUGUCAGCAGGUCAGGAAGCAAGCAAGCCUGGAAUUUAAGUCCAGGGAAGCAGGGAGAAAGCACUUUGCUAAGGAAUCAGCCCAGAAGACAGUCCAGACAGGAACCUAGGUUAGGGAAGUGCAAUGGGAAGACCACCCCCCACUCUGAUGCCGCCCAGGAAAUGAGUUUGCUGUGGCCUAACAGUUGUUUUCUGAGUAUAUUUUCAUGUCAAAUAGAAAAAGCAGAACCUUUGGAGGAGGUGUGAAGAAAUGAAGAGUGACUAGAGGAAAAUAGAGAGUCAGAAGUUGCAGUAGGAAACACCAAAGAAGAAAACUCUCUGCCUUCACUGAGCUCUGGAAGAGGUGGAAGAGAUGGGAGACUUACAGUUACAUGCUGACCUUUUCAGUCAUUUGGAGGCCUCAUGUUCUAGGCUCUUAACUGAUGGUGAUGAAGCCACCAACAGGUGUGAAAGGUGUCCUCUUAUUUACACACUAUUCCUUUGAAUAGUGUGAUUAAGUUUUCAUUCUUACAGUUCUAUGCUACGACCAAUUUGAUAAAAGAUUCUCAUUUAACCAUGCUGUCUUCAUAUAUGUAAGCUUCCUUGAUAUCUAAAGAGUGUGAGCUCCUGAGCCAAGUCCAGUGGAAAAUUUGCAGUCUCUUCUAGGAUUAGAUGAAGACCCAAGAAUUCAUCUUGCUACAGUGGGACAAGACU